UACGAAGGGGGCUAGCGUUGCUCGGAAUCACUGGGCGUAAAGCGCGCGUAGGCGGAUCGUUAAGUCGGGGGUGAAAUCCUGGAGCUCAACUCCAGAACUGCCUUUGAUACUGGCGAUCUUGAGUCCGGGAGAGGUGAGUGGAACUCCGAGUGUAGAGGUGAAAUUCGUAGAUAUUCGGAAGAACACCAGUGGCGAAGGCGGCUCACUGGCCCGGUACUGACGCUGAGGUGCGAAAGCGUGGGGAGCGAACAGG
rnacentral:rRNA from 1 species